GCUUGUCUCAAAGAUUAAGCCAUGCAUGUCUAAGUAUAAACGACUUUAUACAGUGAAACUGCGAAUGGCUCAUUAAAUCAGUUAUAGUUUAUUUGAUAAUACCUUACUACUUGGAUAACCGUGGUAAUUCUAGAGCUAAUACAUGCUACACAACCCGACUUCUGGAAGGGUGGUACUGAUUAGAUACAAAACCAAUCCGGGCAACCGGUUCACUGGUGAUUCAUAAUAACUUUCGGAUCGAUCCUCGGAUCGAUGCAUCAUUCAAGUUUCUGCCCUAUCAGCUUUGGAUGGUAGGGUAUUGGCCUACCAUGGCUUUAACGGGUAACGGAGAAUUAGGGUUCGAUUCCGGAGAGGGAGCCUGAGAAAUGGCUACCACAUCCAAGGAAGGCAGCAGG
rnacentral:rRNA from 1 species